UCAAGUAGAUGAGAAGGAGCCACCGCAUUGAAUCUUUGAAAACCUGAGUCGACAUGUUGUCCUCCUGUUUUUUUGGUCAGAACAUGUUCUCUUCAAACCACACUUCUAUCGCAAAAUUAGACCUCUUUAUCUCUCUUGAAGCUCUUGAGAAAAUCAGUGAAAUGUAUGGAACCCAGCUGAAUUUCUAGUCCAUUCAACCUAAAUUGAGAGAAAGCUACGAGAUGAAAACUUUUUCAGGAGUUGUUUCCGUUAGCCAAUUUCGAGGGUUAGAAACUACAAUUUCUGAUCUUCAUUUCAUAAUGACUUCUACAUGAAAAUUGUUCAAAAUCGUUUCUUAUUUUCGUUGAUCGAAAAUCAUCAUGAUCCAACUGUUAAUUCGUUCUCAAUCAAGGUGAGAUCACUUACUGUUUGAUGAAAAUUCUGUUAUGAGAUUCCACUGAUCUUUGAUUCUAAUUCGAGUUUUUACGCCAUAUCUCCUUUCAAAUUCAAUCUGUCCUUGCAAUGGGUUGUAUCCCUACAUUGAUAAUGAGUUCAAUUCAUGAAAUAUCAUCUUCCAUCUUGAGCCAAAAUUCAGAAAUUUGAUGAUCGCAUGAGUGCACAAGAGAAAUCGAGGCCUUUGAUAUUGUCAUCUUCGAGACAUAAGAGAAUUCUCAUAUAUAUAUGUGAUGAUGUCUGUUGAUGCAUUCUGCAUAGAUGAUUUUGGGAUUCCAAGACUGGCCUCUCCCAAAUCCUCGCCUCUCCGAAUUCACCGAGUUCUGCUGGAUCGACGACACCGAUCCAAGUCCAAGCUCACCGAGGACAAAAUCGACAAGAAAAUCAAGGACUAAAUCGGAUUCCGGUGCCGGUGGACUUACAACAGAAGAAUCGGAAGGAACAGGUGGAUAGGAUUAUGGAGUCGUCGGUGUUCUUCUUGAGCACUGGGACUUCGACAAGAGAAUCAAGGACCAAAUCGGAUUCCGGUGCCCAAAGAGAGAGAGAAUCCUAGUUUAGUUUUUUCAUCAAUCUUAAAGAGACGGAUUUACCCCUGAAAAAUUGACCGAAAGCACACUAAAUAACGGAGAUUGUAAUGGCGUGUAUAUAUUUUGGGUCGGGACUUUAAGUUCAUGUACCGAAAUGAUUGGUUUGAAACAUAAUGUACCGAAGUUCAGAGUCACCCAUUUGUCGUAUACUGUUGUUAAAAAUUUCCCUUCUUGUUUUUUAAGAGAAAAGAAAAAAUUAUAUUAAGUAUUCACAAGAUCUUGAGAUCUUUCUCACUCA